rnacentral:misc_RNA from 1 species
AAAAGUCGUAACAAGGUCUCCGUUGGUGAACCAGCGGAGGGAUCAUUACCGAGUUUACAACUCCCAAACCCCUGUGAACAUACCUAUCGUUGCUUCGGCGGGUUCGCCCCAGUUUGACACAAGCUGGACCCAGGCGCCCGCCGGAGGACCCAAACUCUUGUUUUUUUGAGUAUCUUCUGAGUAAACAAGCAAAUAAAUUAAAACUUUCAACAACGGAUCUCUUGGUUCUGG